AGAAGCCAUGCAUGGAGGAGCCUUCGCUAUCCCACUCAUAUCCGCGCUUCCCCCCUGGAGGUCCUUGCUUGACUAUCCUCUGAGUGGGAGGGAAGGGUGAAUGUUGGCAUGUCCAGCACACUGAGAGCUUCAAUUCGAGAAAGUGUACAGGACAUGGCUAUAGGCAGAAUUAAAAGUAAUGAGAAAACUAACCAUGCAACUGUUGAGCAGGUAAAGUACAUUUUUGUCAAAAGAUUAAUAAGUUGUGUGCUAGGUGUUUUGGUAAAGAGUUUCCAUUAAAAUUCUCCAUGCUGCAGUUGUAACAGCAGCCACAAUGAGGUCUCCUUAUACUAAGUGUUAACUGCUGCUUGGAUGAUCUCAAGACAAUAUGUCCCUUGUAAAUAUGUGUCCAUUUUCAAUGAUCUAUUAGAAUUUUUGCCAAUUUCUUCAUUGGCCUCCCUCCUCUUGCUUUGCACCUCUAUCCCCGUGUCAAAUAGUCUGUACUUGGCAUGAAGCAUGAGUGGAGUUAAUUUUCAUAAUUUAUUGUGCUUCAUGGAUAUAGGAAAAUGAAAUAUAGUGAUUUUUAGUUAAUCAUCAAAAGUUUUGAGGUUGAAAGGAACCCUCUUGCAAGCUUAAUCUGUCUCUUCCUAAAUCAUUAUUUCAUUUUGACUUAAUAAUAGCUGAGUAAACUAUUUGCUAGGUGUAUGCAUCGGUUCAUACCCUGUCUUGCAAUAAUUAUGCAGAGGACAUUGAUCAGAGGACUCGGAUGGUUCUCUUCUAGAUGCUCAACAGUCAAGUAUUUAAUGAUAUAGAAGGUUGCAUUUCCACUGGUAAAGAAUUAUGCUGUCAUCUACAGUUAGCAGUACUACUUUCAUUUUUACUACCAAUUGAUUGUAGAUGGAACUUCUCUACAUCAUUGUUAUAAUUUCGCAAUUUCACUUGUGAUCUGUUCAUACUUUUGCUACUACUGCAUAGUCACUUGACCAUUUUGUCGCUCUG